rnacentral:rRNA from 1 species
AGUGAACGCUGGCGGUAGGCCUAACACAUGCAAGUCGAACGGCAGCACAGUAAGAGCUUGCUCUUACGGGUGGCGAGUGGCGGACGGGUGAGGAAUACAUCGGAAUCUACUUUUUCGUGGGGGAUAACGUAGGGAAACUUACGCUAAUACCGCAUACGACCUACGGGUGAAAGCAGGGGAUCUUCGGACCUUGCGCGAUUGAAUGAGCCGAUGUCGGAUUAGCUAGUUGGCGGGGUAAAGGCCCACCAAGGCGAAGAUCCGUAGCUGGUCUGAGAGGAUGAUCAGCCACACUGGAACUGAGACACGGUCCAGACUCCUACGGGAGGCAGCAGUGGGGAAUAUUGGACAAUGGGCGCAAGCCUGAUCCAGCCAUACCGCGUGGGUGAAGAAGGCCUUCGGGUUGUAAAGCCCUUUUUUUGUGAAAGAAAAGCAGCAGGUUAAUACCCCGCUGUUCUGACGGUACCCAAAGAAUAAUCACCGGCUAACUUCGUG